rnacentral:rRNA from 1 species
UACGUAGGGUGCAAGCGUUGUCCGGAAUUAUUGGGCGUAAAGAGCUCGUAGGCGGUCUGUCGCGUCGGAUGUGAAAAUCCAGGGCUCAACCCUGGACCUGCAUUCGAUACGGGCAGACUAGAGUUCGGUAGGGGAGACUGGAAUUCCUGGUGUAGCGGUGAAAUGCGCAGAUAUCGGGAGGAACACCGGUGGCGAAGGCGGUUCUCUGGGCCUGUACUGACGCUGAGGAGCGAAAGCGUGGGGAGCGAACAGG